rnacentral:rRNA from 1 species
CGGACGGGUGAGUAAUACUUAGGAAUCUGCCCAUUAGUGGGGGACAACAUUCGGAAACGGAUGCUAAUACCGCAUACGCCCUACGGGGGGAAGCGGGGGAUCUUCGGACCUCGCGCUAAUGGAUGAGCCUAAGUCGGAUUAGCUUGUUGGUGAGGUAAUAGCUCACCAAGGCGACGAUCCGUAGCUGGUCUGAGAGGACGAUCAGCCACACUGGGACUGAGACACGGCCCAG